CCUACGGGUGGCAGCAGUGAGGAAUAUUGGUCAAUGGGCGCGAGCCUGAACCAGCCAAGUAGCGUGAAGGAUGACUGCCCUACGGGUUGUAAACUUCUUUUAUAAAGGAGUAAAGUGAUGCACGUGUGCCUUUUUGUAUGUACUUUAUGAAUAAAGAUCGGCUAACUCCGUGCCCGCAGCCGCGGUAAGCCGGAGGAUCCGGGCGUUAUCCGGAUUUAUUGGGUUUAAAGGGAGCGUAGAUGGGUUGUUAAGUCAGUUGUUAAAGUUUGCGGCUCAACCGUAAAAUUGCAAUUGAUACUGGCAGUCUGGAGUACAGUUGAGGUAGGCGGAAUUCGUGGUGUAGCGGUGAAAUGCUGAGAUAUCACGAAGAACUCCGAUUGCGAAGGCAGCUUACUAAACUGCAACUGACAUUGAUGCUCGAAAGUGUGGGUAUCAAACAGGAUUAGAUACCCGUGUAGUC
rnacentral:rRNA from 1 species